rnacentral:rRNA from 1 species
AACGAACACUGGCGGCAGGCUUAACACAUGCAAGUCGAACGGGUGUAGCAAUACAUCAGUGGCAGACGGGUGAGUAACACGUGGGAACCUUCCUAGGGGUACGGAACAACUCAGGGAAACUUGAGCUAAUACCGCAUACGUCCGUGAGGAGAAAGAUUUAUCGCCCUUAGACGGGCCCGCGUCGGAUUAGCUAGUUGGUGGGGUAACGGCCUACCAAGGCGACGAUCCGUAGCUGAUCUUAGAGGAUGAUCAGCCACACUGGGACUGAGACACGGCCCAGACUCCUACGGGAGGCAGCAGUGGGGAAUCUUGGACAAUGGGCGCAAGCCUGAUCCAGCCAUGCCGCGUGAGUGAAGAAGGUCUUCGGAUUGUAAAGCUCUUUUGCCAGGGACGAUAAUGACGGUACCUGGAGAAUAAGCCCCGGCAAACUUCGUGCCAGCCGCCGCAGUAA